rnacentral:rRNA from 1 species
GACGAACGCUGGCGGCAUGCCUAAUACAUGCAAGUCGAACGAGUGGCGAACGGGUGAGUAACACGUGGGGAAUCUGCCUAGGAGUGGGGGAUAACAUUCGGAAACGGAUGCUAAUACCGCAUACUCUUAGAUGAUCCCGCGGCGUAUUAGUUAGUUGGUGGGGUAAAGGCCUACCAAGACAAUGAUACGUAGACGACCUGAGAGGGUGAUCGGCCACACUGGGACUGAGACACGGCCCAGACUCCUACGGGAGGCAGCAGUAGGGAAUCUUCCACAAUGGGUGCAAACCUGAUGGAGCAAUGCCGCGUGAAUGAAGAAGGUCUUCGGAUCGUAAAGUUCUGUUAUUAGUGAAGCGGUAACUAACCAGAAAGUCACGGCUAACUACGUGCCAGCAGCCGCGGUAAUAC